GAGUAUACUGGAGGGAGGAGUAUCUGGGUGGUCCCGGGGACUCAGUUUAACCUUAAUACUCACAACACCGUUAGGAGUGUCAACCCUCCUUGCUGUUAUAUAUAGAGCAGCCUCAGCGGCAAAACGAGGUCAGGAGAAGAUAUCUGUGAGUGUGUGGAGAGAACUGAUCCUGGCUGUGUUGAACUGGAUUAAGGAGGAGAAGGAGGAGAAACUAGGAGAACCUCUAGUUCCUCCUCAACCCCUAGAUAUAGGAUUCCUUCUCACGCUUACUCAUAAUCAGCAUCAGGCCUGGGAGGCAUUCUUGUUGAAAGUUGGUGUUGAGGCGGUUUAGAACACAAGAAGAAUGAGGAAGAAUAUUAAAAGGGCUGAAAGGGAUGAAAAAAGGAUUGAGACGAAUUAAAUCCAUAGAUUAAUGUUAAUACAGAUAGAACACUAAAUGUCGUCUUUUCAAGAUUUAGGGGUUUUUCGUUUGCAAUAACCCUGAGGCAGAGGCCCCACAGGAGUUAGGCACAUGCUCUCUUAAUUCAACGCUGCCUGCGAGGAACCCCUUUGGGCUUCUGCCGCAGGAUAAUUGUAAACAAAAAACUCUGAAACCUUGACAAGACGAUAUCUAGUGUUCUAUCUUCAUAUUGUUAUUAAUAUGUGAUUGAAUCAAUAUUCAGGAUAUUAACAAACCAGAAUUUAAUUCUCAUUUUACAUUUACUAUUUUUUCUAUAUUUAUUGGCUUCUGGGAGUUCUGUAUGAUCCUAAAGAUUUCGGAUAUGUGUUACUUUUCGGAAUUGUUAAAAAAGUACAGGAAUCUUGAAUGCUUCCCUAAAUAUUGUAUUCGGAAUACAUCCGGAAAAAUUGUAUGUAUGCGGAACUAUUCCGGAAAUAUUUGAUGUGUAGGGAAUUAUUGAAUUCCAGACCCCUAUUUGAUGCUUUAUUUUUAAACCCAGCUCCGGUAUUGUGCCUCAUUUCCUGUCAUAUAAAAACUUGCAUAACAAUUAGUGAAGGAUAGAAAUUGUAAAAAAAAAUGAAAAAUAUGGAGGAAAUUUGAUCACCAACGUAAUGCAAAUCUGACAUUCUUUUAUACCGUUACACCUACAUACAGUCGUUUUUAUCCAGUGUUUUAAUGCCAGUGUCUAAAUGUUGUAAUUUUUGGGGCGGUGAACACUGAAGCUAGGAACUCGAUAUCUUUGUUUACUUAAAUUGUACUGCAGUUGCUGGAAGGAACAUAAUAUUAUUUAAAUUUUUUCUCUAAAGACGGAUCUUGGUUUCCUAGCACUUCCUCCUUGGACAUAAUCAGGAAGUAAUGAAUAGAAGGGAGAUAUAACUGACGCGGUUCGCCCUACCAUAUGAUUAUACAUGCUUUGCAGACGGGUACUCCAUUUGUAUAAGAAAUAUUUGUCUGAUGUACUAUAACCGCGUAUGCAAUAACCUAUUAUGAAUAUUUUUUAUUCAAAUGUAGUACCGUCUGCAAAGCACGCAUAAUCAUAUGGU